rnacentral:rRNA from 1 species
CCUACGGGAGGCAGCAGUGAGGAAUAUUGGUCAAUGGGCGGAAGCCUGAACCAGCCAAGUAGCGUGCGGGAUGAAGGCCCUACGGGUCGUAAACCGCUUUUGCACGGGGAUAACACCCUCCACUUGUGGAGGUCUGCAGGUACCGUGCGAAUAAGGGCCGGCUAAUUCCGUGCCAGCAGCCGCGGUAAUACGGAAGGCCCGAGCGUUAUCCGGUUUCAUUGGGCUGAAAGGGAGCGUAGGCGGGCGUUCAAGUCAGCUGUAAAAUCGCGCGGCUCAACCGCGCCCCGCAGUUGAACCUGGACGCAUUGAGUUCACAACAGGCAGGCGGAAUUCGUGGUGUAGCGGUGAAAUGCAUAGAUAUCACGAGGAACCCCGAUUGCGAAGGCAGCCUGCCGGGGUGCGACUGACGCUGAGGCUCGAAGGUGCGGGUAUCAAACAGGAUUAGAUACCCCAGUAGUC